rnacentral:rRNA from 1 species
GGCCGUAGUCAAGCCUUAGGGGAGAUAGCUGGAGUAGUAGAGCUACGGGUUGAAGAUUUAGGUCUCGAAAGGGAUCGGUUUUCUGUCCAACUCCGAACAUUCUAGCAUCGCAGAUCCUAAGAGACGGGAAGCCGAGGUAAGCUCGGUUUCCGAGAGGGGAACAACCCAGACUAUAGUUAAGGUCCCAAAAUGCUGACUAAGUGUGAAAGGGUGAAAAGUGUCUAUCGUCGCAGACAGCGAGGAGGUUGGCUUAGAAGCAGCCAUCCUUUAAAAAGUGCGUAACAGCUUACUUGUCAAGAUGGUAGGCCUUUAAAAUGGACGGGGCUAAGUCAGCUACCGAUACUAUAGAAUACCUAAACGGUAAUUGGUAGAUAGGCGUUCUUUAAGGGCAGAAGUAUUCUCGCGAGAGAGUAUGGACCUUAUAGAAAUGAGAAUCCUGGCGGUAGUAGGAUCUUAGUACUGUAAGAAUCAGUACCACUGAAAGGGCAAGGGUUCCUUGGCAAUGCAAAUCAGCCAAGGGUUAGUCGAACCUAACCAUAUUCAUAAAUUGUAAUAUGGGAAAGGGAUAAAGGUUAAUAUUCCUUUACUAUUUAAGUAUGCGUGGCAACACAAGCUUUGUUCCCGACAUUUCUGAUUAGGCUAACACAAAUUUUCGUUUGUGUCAACUGGAAUAAAUCAGGGGAGUAUCGUAAUGAUGAGAACCUGAUUAAAUCCGGGAUGAGCAUUCUUAUGGGAUGUUUAGCUGAUAUCUGGAAUCCGUGAAAAGAGAAUAGAGAAAAAACUGGAAUAAUC